UUGAUACUGUGAGGCUAGGAUUUCGGUUGCUGUGGGCGGAAUGUGUGGUGUAGCGGUGAAAUGCUUAGAGAUCACACAGAAUAUCGAUUGCGAAGGCAGCUCACAAAGCCAAGAUUGACGCUGAGGCACGAAAGUGUGGGGAUCAAACAGGAUUAGAUACCCUGGUAGUACACACUGUAAACGAUGAUAACUCGCUGUCGGCGAUAGACCGUCGGUGUCCAAGCGAAAGCGAUAAGUUAUCCACCCUGGGGAGUACGACCGCAAGGUUGAAACUCAAAGGAAUUGACGGGGGCCCGCACAAGCGGAGGAACAUGUGGUUUAAUUCGAUGAUACGCGAGGAACCUUACCCGGGCUCGAACGGUGCAUGAAUGUUCAAGAGAUUGGACAGUCCUUCGGGACAUGUAUCGAGGUGCUGCAUGGUUGUCGUCAGCUCGUGCCGUGAGGUGUCGGCUUAAGUGCCAUAACGAGCGCAAC
rnacentral:rRNA from 1 species